AGUGGCAGACGGGUGAGUAAUGUAUAGGAAUCUACCUAGUAGUACGGAAUAAUUGUUGGAAACGGCAACUAAUACCGUAUACGCCCUACGGGGGAAAGAUUUAUCGCUAUUAGAUGAGCCUAUAUUAGAUUAGCUAGUUGGUAAGGUAAUGGCUUACCAAGGCAAUGAUCUAUAGCUGAUCUGAGAGGAUGAUCAGCCACACUGGAACUGAGAUACGGUCCAGACUCCUACGGGAGGCAGCAGUGGGGAAUAUUGGACAAUGGGCGAAAGCCUGAUCCAGCCAUGCCGCAUGAGUGAAGAAGGCCUUUGGGUUGUAAAGCUCUUUCGGUGAGGAAGAUAAUGACGGUACUCACAGAAGAAGUCCUGGCUAACUCCGUGCCAGCAGCCGCGGUAAUACGGAGAGGGCUAGCGUUAUUCGGAAUUAUUGGGCGUAAAGAGCGCGUAGGCUGGUUAGUAAGUUAAAAGUGAAAUCCCAAAGCUCAACUUUGGAAUUGCUUUUAAAACUGCUAACCUAGAGAUUGAAAGAGGAUAGAGGAAUUCCUAGUGUAGAGGUGAAAUUC
rnacentral:rRNA from 1 species